rnacentral:rRNA from 1 species
UGGGGAAUUUUGGACAAUGGGCGAAAGCCUGAUCCAGCCAUGCCGCGUGAGUGAAGAAGGCCUUCGGGUUGUAAAGCUCUUUUAGUCGGAAAGAAAGAGUUGCAAUGAAUAAUUGUGAUUUAUGACGGUACCGACAGAAAAAGCACCGGCUAACUACGUGCCAGCAGCCGCGGUAAUACGUAGGGUGCGAGCGUUAAUCGGAAUUACUGGGCGUAAAGGGUGCGCAGGCGGUCUUGCAAGUCAGAUGUGAAAGCCCCGGGCUUAACCUGGGAAUUGCGUUUGAGACUACAAGACUAGAGUGCAGCAGAGGGGAGUGGAAUUCCAUGUGUAGCAGUGAAAUGCGUAGAGAUGUGGAAGAACACCGAUGGCGAAGGCAGCUCCCUGGGUUGACACUGACGCUCAUGCACGAAAGCGUGGGGAGCACACA